CAAAUAGGAAUGCAUAAAUUUCUAUGCAUGCCAAAUUCUCUAAAAUCUUUAUUAGGGCGAGAAGCAACAUUUAAAGAAGGCAAAAUGGAAUUUAAAGUUAAAAACAAUCAAUUAAUUGCAGUUUUGAGUUUAUCUUUAAUUCAACAGAAAAGCAAAAAGGAGGACCUCCCUGAAAUAGAAGAAAUCCUUAAUCAGGUAUAUGUGGGAGUAUGGGCAUCUGAAGUUCCAGCCAAAGAAAGCCAAAAUUUAUUUGCUUUUGAAUGGGAAAAUCCUGACACAGGAAGAAAAACUCAGUUAACUUGGACAGUAUUACCACAGGGGUUUAAAAACAGUCCAGCAAUUUUUAGAAAUCAGUUAGCACGAGAAUUAGAACCAUGAAAGCCACCCACUCAGAGGGGGACUCUGUCACAAUAUGUGGAUGACCUACUAAUUGCUACAGAAACAAAGGAAGAAUGUACCCAGUGGACAGUGGAAUUAUUAAAUUUUCUGGGACUGAAUGGUUAUCUGGUAUGCAGACAAAAGGCCUAACUAAUCCAAACCUGAGUUUCCUACCUAGGAUAUGAAAUAACAGGA